CGUCCCCGCGCCUCCACCGCCUUCUUCCAGGAGGAGGGGCCGUGCGGCGCCUGCCCGGGGGCCCUCAGGCCGCAGGCGGGCGCGAGCUUCAGGGAACUUAGGGGGCUCCCGCCUCCCCGGCCACGCGAGCGGGAACAGUCUCCUCCACUCGGAGCGGCGCCAUCUUCAGCUCUGAGUCACCAGGGCUGGAAAAAUACUAGAUGCGCUACUCGUGGACUCGUGAAUACACUCGUGAAUACAGGCCAUUUCCUGUACCUACAGCCACCCGCUAUUAUAGAUCCAGACUCCUGUGCCUGACCACUGCCCAUGGCCAACUCUCUGCUGAUGACUGGACUUGACUACACAAGUUGUUGGCCAUCUUAAAACCACUCAAAGUUGACGGUCUCCUCUCCUGCCUCCUGCGGCUUCCAUUACCAUGGCAGAGACUGUGGUGUCUGAGGUGGUGUAGCGUACUGAAGCAAGGCUGUCUUGAAGAAGAGGAGACAACUCACAAUUCUACCACCUUUGUUGACCUCUUCUUCCCCCCAACUUAUUGCUGUAGAGGCUACCUGAGCUCAUUGUCCCUGGAGAUGGACCAAAUAGAAGAAUAAGCAGUGCCUGUGUGCUGAAGGUAAAGAAAUUUCAUGUGGUGGAUUCCUACAAAAGAAAAAGCUGCAAAAGAGUCAACCAGGAAAGGUGCUAGACACACAUCCAAUGGCUGCUGAGUGAUGAAUGAGAAAGAAACCUUCGGUGUAGUAAGCCAUUGAAAUUUGGGGGAAAUUUGUAAUAGCUGUUGCUGUAAACCUCCGCACUGCAAAACACACACAUCCUAGAUAAUUAAAAGACAACUUCUACCAGAUGUUGAAGGGCACAUCAUUCCAAUCUUAUGUAAAUUAUUCCAGAGAAUAGACAAAGAGGAACUAUUCCUCCAACAGAUUUUAGGAAGCCAAAAUAACCUUAAUACCAACACUAGUGGAAAACAGAGUAAGAAAGGCACAACAUGAUUUAUAUGAGGAAAUCCUAAACAAAGUAUUAGCAAAUUGAAUCCAACGAAAAAUAUACUUGAAUUGUGUGCACACAUACGAAAUCAUUCUUCAAUUAACAAAUAUUUUUAAGCAUCUGACGUAUGCCAAGCAGCAACAUAACACCUUGAGACGUCAGAGAUCUUUGCCCUUGUAAACCUACAUUCCAGCAGAAGAAAAUAGAGAAUCUAUAAAUAAUAGAGACUUCCUAGUGUCAUCCUUGACUGAGGCAAUCUUUUUCUUGGUGCUGCCUAAAAACGCCUUUGUUUUUUAAAAAUUGUAUAUUAUUGAUGACUCAUACUAGCUUAUAGUUAAAAGGAAUUCCCCAACCUUUAGAAAAGUAUAUAAAUCAUUAUAAGGACCAGUUUACUUAUUAUGAUGUAUGUUGAGUGUUCAAAACAGCAAAAAAGAGUAAAAUAAUAAAUACCACAUCCACCCACAGCUUAUAAAAGAAAACUCUGCCCAUUCUCCUGUAUAUUUCUCUGUGCUGUUUCUUUCUUGCCACAUAGGGUUACCACUAACCUACAUUGUUUUCCAUUUUUAUUGCACGCUUAUAUGUAUUUUUAAGCAAUAGAAGCUAUUGUUUACAGGUUUUAGAACUUUAUUAAAUACGUUUAUGGACAGUAACUAAUUCCAUUUGUUUAAACGGUUUGGCAUAAAAUAGUAAAUAAUUCACAGCUAGUAAAACCAAAAAACAAAGAGAUAACAACUAUUUGCUGCUUACAAGGAACAAAUAAAAUAAAAAACUUUAAAUAUUUAAUUGAAAUCACAACCAUCCUGAUAUAAUAAACAUACUAGCUGUAAGACAGAGUGGUCAUGCUGGACAGCAUCUUCAAGAAACCCUCCCUGUGGUUUUUAUUUGAUCCCCAUAACAUCUAUUUUAAAUCUUCUUAAUGGCUUUCAAUAACAACUUAUAAUUAUAUUUGUAAAGAUCAGGCUCACUUUUUUAACAGAUUGCUAAGUCUCAUAUAAUUCAUUAGGGCAAAUUAUAUUGUUUCCAACAGUUCAUUUUUCUGUUGUUGCUGGUGAUUUCUAUUGAUGUAAUGAAUUUCUAUACCGAUUUAUAUCCAGCUAUCUUCCAAAACUCUCUUGUAUUAAUUCUAAUAAUUAUUUUGUAGAUUAUCUUGGGUUUUUCUAAAGAUAUAAUUACAUUUUCUGCAAAAACUAAUAGUCAUGUUUCUUUAUAAUUUUUAUAAAUUUUACUUCCUAGUCUAUUCUUAUUGGAUGACCAUUACUUCUAUUUAAAUGUUGAGCAGAAGCAGUGCAAGAAGGCAU
rnacentral:lncRNA from 1 species